ACUGCGAACGGCUCAUUAUAUCAGUUAUAGUUUAUUUGAUAGUCCCUUACUACUUGGAUAACCGUAGUAAUUCUAGAGCUAAUACAUGCAUCAAUACCCAACUGUUCGCGGACGGGUAGUAUUUAUUAGAUAGAAACCAACCCUCUUCGGAGGUGCUCAGGUGAUUCAUGAUAACUCUGCGAAUCGCAUGGUCUUGUACCGGCGAUGGAUCAUCCAAGUUUCUGCCCUAUCAGCUUUGGAUGGUAGGGUAUUGGCCUACCAUGGCUUUAACGGGUAACGGAUAAUUAGGGUUAGAUUCCGGAGAGGGCGCCUGAGAGACGGCGACCACAUCCAAGGAAGGCAGCAGGCGCGUAAAUUACCCAAUCCUGACACAGGGAGGUAGCGACAAUAAAUAACAAUGCCGGGCCUUUCUAGGUCUGGCAAUUGGAAUGAGAACAAUUUAAAUCCCUUAUCGAGGAUCAAUUGGAGGGCAAGUCUGGUGCCAGCAGCCGCGGUAAUUCCAGCUCCAAUAGCGUAUAUUAAAGUUGUUGCAGUUAAAAAGCUCGUAGUUGGAUUUCUGGUGGGAGCGGUCGGUGCGGUCCUCAGGAUUGCUACUCGUACCGUCUCUUGCCAUCCUUGGGGUCGAUCCUGUCUGGCAUUAAGUUGUCGGGCAGGGGAU
rnacentral:rRNA from 1 species